GGAAACUGAAAGAAGGCCGUCGUUUGUAUGUAUGUGUGUGUGUCUUUACUGUUGUUUUGUUUCAUUCGUUACAUCUGAGGUUUAAAACAAUGAUCUGAAGAAAUUUUCUGCCAAAAACAGAAUAGAACUGUGAAGGCACAUGUUCUGAUAUUAGGCUUCUCUGCCUAAUGUUGUAAAACACUCAACUGGACAGACACAAAAAGUUCUUCAGGCUUAUUUUUGGUUCGGAAAAAUAAGAAGUUGUGACGUUCAUGACUUUCAUUUGUGCAUAAAUGAAUUGAAUCGAUUUCAAUUGGAAAUCUAACCUGUCUUGCGAAUGCGAUUAACCUGGAGAUUUAACAACUAACCAAAAAAGAAUUGGAAUUGGGCUGGUUACGAACGGAAGGGAACGAAAAAGCCAGUAGACAAGAUUUCCAAAGGAAGAACGGAAUCAAGCAAGACGAAAGACACGCCCAGAUAUGAAGAAAGAUUGCAAAUAAAAGAUGCGAACUGCCUGAAGACAAUCGAUCUACUAAAAUAUAUGAUUGGUAAUUAUGUUUCUGAACUUUUUCACCCAACACAACUGGGAGAAUGAAAACCAAGAGUCACUUUCGCCUCGUGCUCAUUUUUUUUAAAAGAAGGAAUCUGUCCGACGACGUAGAACUCGUUCACCCUUUUACAGCGCCUGAAAUAUAUCUCGUUCUCUGAAUCUCACUUUGAUUUUAAUCACAUCAAACUCUGUCGUGGAUAAAUGUCUGAUUUAACGAAGAAUGCCGGAUCUAUUGUCAACCUUUAAGGAUGUUUUAGUGAAGAACAACAUGAACGCCACAACUUACCAUCAUUUUAUCCCAAAGUGAAUCCUUACAUCGGAUUGAUUUUCCUCAUAAAAGCAAACAUUUUAUUUAAUCCCACCACACGCUGAUGCAAACAUUCACUUUCUACGAAUAGAUUUUGUCAUGGCCUCAAAGGACGAUUUAUGUAUUCAAUAAUGUAAGUUCAAUCCCAGCUAUGCCAACAGCUUUUAGAAGAAAUGCAUAACAUUUAUGUGGUUCCAGUGAAUAACAACUUAACAAAAUAGAAAAUUGUCCUUGGUUUGGAAAUGAUUUGAUCUGAGACUGUGUGGAAAUUAAAGCAAUUACAAUGUGCAGAAUUGCUAAGUUACAGGGAUGUAAACACACCAACGUCAGUUGUCAAGUUGUGUUGGGGGACAAACACAGACAC
rnacentral:misc_RNA from 1 species